AUCAUCCUUUUCUGUGCCUGCAUGCUGACAGGGAGCAGCUGCUGGUAUCUAGAACAACUCCCAGCUGUUCUUCCAACUUUUCUCAAGUGUUCCUUAGUGUCAAUGCCUCUAAUUAGUUAAAAUAGGAAGGGGGGUGGUAAACAGAGGAGCACAAGAGAGGCCUAAUUUUAGCUGUAGCCAAAAGGACUUUCCCCUAAAUACACUGUGAUCUCAAAAUACUUAGCUAAGCCCAUAUGUACAUGGUGGGGAGAGAAUUUAAAGAGCUACAGAAGUAAAAUUCGCUCGUCAAAUGGGACAGCUCUGCCUCUUUGUACAACUGGAUUAAAGAGGAAAGGAAUGAAAAUAAACUGAACCCUCACUCUGUGCCAGGAACUGGACCAGAUGCUUUGUGUGCAGCAACUCAUUUAAUCCUCACAGCAACAGGAUGAUGAUGGGACUGGUAUUACCUCCAUUUUACAGAUGAGGAAACUGAGGCUAGGUGAGGCUGAUGCUACUCUGUGCAAGACGACACAGCUAAUGAGAGAGCAGGAUUUAAAUCUGGGCCUCUCUGGCUUAACUGUAUCUAGCAAGAGGAAGAUAGGGCCUCAAACCUAGGACAAAGAGGGCAUUGGGAAGAUAGCUUAAACAGGGAUUUGGAGCAGGGAAUCAGAGCCAGAUUCCAGGGGAUUCUGACUCUCAGAACACUCAGACAUCAUUAUAGGAACUGGCAGGACUCACUCAGUGCCUCAACUUUAUCCAAUCCAAAAAUCCCUCCCAGCCCUCACAAGGUAUGCUGGAGGAAUGACCAGAUUGUCACUAACAACUUACAGGUAGAUAAAUCAUAUGGAGAAUGCCCCCCACCCCCAUCUCCUCUCCUCACUUCAGCAAAAAAAAAAGAAAGACAAAAACAAAAAACAACAAAACCCACUGCUUCCUGUAAUCACAGGAGAUACAAUAUUUAGCAAAGGAAUACGAACUGGCUAAUCACCCAACCCCCUAUAACCUUCUUAAGGUUAGGGGAGAAUCUGGGCUCCUUCAGAAAACAGGCCACCUGAUAGGACUCAUGGCGUCAGCUUCCUUCAUUUCAGUUCACGCUUAAAAGGCCUCUUCACUGUGAAGCUUCCCAGUGAGGUUUUCCACGCACAUCUGGACAUUUUCCACAAUAGGCCUUUGAAGAGGCCUGAAGUAUUCCGGGAAAGUCUGCCUCACUGGGCUGAGGUUUAAAGAGCAGAAGCCCACAUUUAUUUUUCUUUCCCGCCUUCUUUGACAAAACUCCCCUCAGUGGUUUGUGGGCAUUUGCAAAGCGGCCCUGAUUUUCAGCUCACUACUUCUAGGGCUGAAAUCUUAAAGAAAACGAACAACAAAAGAGCAAAUUCAAAAGAGCAUGGGUAUCAUCAAUGACUGUUUAUGUGUUCUGCUCCUCCACCAGACUCUGAGUCGUGCUGAGUCAUCUCUGUAGCAGAGAGAAAAUGGACUUUGGCCUCAAGCCCACUUGCUCCAUCACUCAGCAUUGGUGACAUUUUGUCGAGUCACUUAAACUGUCUGAAGCUUGGUUUCCUGACCUGUGAGUUAACAGUGGCCUGCCUUGUGUGGGCUACCAAACGUUCAUGAGGUGGGUUAGGUAAAUCACUUUACAUGUUGUCCGACAUGGACUGACAGAUCUGUGCUGUCUCCUUGGCCGGGUCCCUCUCCACUAUUCAGGCUAACAGCUACUCAUUGUUUACAACUCAACUCAGGUGAUGGUUUUCUUCUCUGGCAAUACUUUACCCCUACCUCCCUCUUGCUUGGGCUAGAUGAGGUAUGUGUCCUCAGUGCUUUAAAACUUCCCUAUUCUCUGAGCUGUGGCUUAUUGUUAUUUUAGUUGUAAGUGUAUGUCCACCAUGCCCCGCCCCCACACCACUGUAACAAUGUAGGCAGCUGAUGUCUUUCCACACUAAGCACAGUGCCUGGUAUAACAAUAUGCUCAAUGACUGCCAAGAGAUUAAUCAGUCUAUUAGCAACUAUUUAUUGGCCCGCUUACUUUGAGUCAGGUGCUAUUCUGGCUACUGAAGCUGUAGCUAUGAAUAAAACAGACAUAGCCCCUGCUUUCAUAAGCUUACAUUCCAGUAGAGAAAGUCAGGAAGUACAUUAAAGACACGUAGAGACUUGUGGUUAUAGCUCCAACAUGUAAAAACUGUGUAAGUCAUUAAGCCCAUCCUUACUCCAAAAAAAAAAAAAGAAGCUAAGAAACUAUAAAUCACUGAUUUUUCUUGGAUCCAUAAGAGAACUGAAGUUACAGGACAAACUAUCACUCUGAAAUCUGAAGACAAAGGACAACCCAGACAGUCACAGCUGAGCUCUUACUUGGAGGAGCAGCUGCUGGAGUCAUAAACUGAUACAUUUAUGAUUGCUUUGAUCAAGAAUUUAAAAGUUUCAAGACAUAUAAACAUGGAGAAAAUGUAAGGGCUCUGAGAAGCUAGAAGAAAUAAUGGUAUCAGUGGAGAGAACAAAUAGACAAAAAGUCUGAAUGACAACUUUAUAAGGGUGAAUAUGGAUAUAGAAUAUUGUACAAGGCAAACAGAAGAAUUGGAGAUGUAAGAAGCAAGACAUUCCCACAGGACAGCAAGUCAAAGCAGUCAUCACUUCUCUGCAAUCACUGCAGGACAUGCCUGUUACAAAGAUUGGAAGCCUGGAAAGUAGAACUGGAAACGUACCUCGCCCAGGGUACCAUGUACCUUCUUUCUCCAUCAGUCCCAAUGACCCACAAAUACUUUUUCUAUUCAUGUCAAAAGAGCAGAGGGAUUGUUUUUGAAAGAGAUUUUAGCAGCCCAUGCAAUGUUCUCUAGAGCCCCGAGGUGGCACUAUUGCAAAACUAACAGAAGCCUGAACCAUCAAAAAGAAAAAGUACCUUUAGUAUGAAACACUUUCAAUAACUGCGCAAAAGGCAGACAUCAUUUAAUACAGACGCUACAAACAAUUUAGUAUCUCUAACAGAAUUUUUAAUUUCCUUUUAAACUCAAAGACUCACCCCAAGAAGAAGAAAAAUAUCAUUUUUUAGCCAGAAAGAAAAAUCUCAGAACUGUUCUUUCUCCUGACAUUUACAAUGAAGGACUCAGCUGAAGCUCAUGAUACUAAGAGUUUGUGGUAUAACCUGUUUUAUAAUCAAGAUUGACUUGAUAGUACAAAAGAACUAGCUUUCAGAGUAAAAAUGUAAGACAGUAAAUGAGGGCUGGCUGGAAGGAAAAAUGUAGCUAUGUUAGUUUGAUACUCAACUAAAAGCUAUAAUCUUAUUAAACAUAUUUAAACAUGGUUUUCAUUUAGAUUUGGCAGUUUGAUCAAUGGGGAUGUAUUAAAUAAUACCUGGCUGCUAAGAGCAUAUUUAGGAAUCAGUGCCACAUAAAACAUACAACAUGUACAAUUCAGUUUCAUUAUUAUUUGAGGUUCUCUGUUCUCUUAGGUGUGGGCACACACAUAUUAAAAAUUAAGUACACACGCUCAGUGUAUGCUCAGCGCUUUUAAAGGGCUUUCUCUUUAAGCAGAAACAUGAAAUGGAAAAUGAACUCAACUCUGGUGAAAGGUAAUGGAUUCAACCCUUUGGGGACAGCUGUCCUGUUUAUCAAAAGGAAGGGGAGAGGUGGGUCAGAAGCAAGAAAAAAAAAUUCCCAAGUGGUCAGCAAAGAGAGAAACCCAACUUCAGAGGGGAGCUGAAAUCAGUUUCUACACCCAGGCUUCCUUCUUUGUCACAGUGGAGAGGUCGAAUGAAUGGUAUGUUUAACCAUAAGACCAUGGGGGAAUUGAGAUGCUGACUGAUUCCCAGAGCAUUAUAGAAACACUUUGGUAACGGGAGUGUGGGGGUUGCAGGGGAGUGGGAAGAAGCAUCUGUAGUUUUUCUGGGCAUAAUGCUAGGUACUGACCAA